AGUAGAAAAAUGAUGGACUACAACGCAAUUUUAGAUUUCGGAGAGAACCCUGUCACAGAUGUGGACACAAAACUCAAGAUCCUAAAGUUUGAUUAUUCAUGGGUUGAUGCUGUGGAGGAGGAAGAGAGAUGUAUGGAGGAGGAACAAAAGCAGAAAAGACAGAUGGAGAAAAGAUUGGAGAAAGAAAUUGUAAAAGAGAAGAAGAA